UGGAACCAGGAUGGACCAGCCCAGGACAGAUAAAAGGAGACACUGGUGCCUUCAAGCUGUCCAUUUCCUCCCUAGGAUGUCGGUUUCGGUGGAGGGAAGGCCGACCUUAGAGGAACACUUGCAAAGGGUAUGGCGGAGCACACCUUUAAUCCCAGCACUUAGGAGGCAGAUGCUGAUGGAUCUCUUUUGAAUUCCAGGCCAGCCCCAGCCAGAUAUAUAUGGGUCUCUCUGUAUAACCAUGGCUGUCCUGCAACUCAAUAAACCA